GACAGAGGGUGCAAACGUUGUUCGGAAUUACUGGGCGUAAAGCGUGUGUAGGCGGCCACGCAAGUCAGACGUGAAAUCCCUCGGCUUAACCGGGGAACUGCGUCUGAUACUGGAUGGCUUGAGUUUGGGAGAGGGAUGCGGAAUUCCAGGUGUAGCGGUGAAAUGCGUAGAUAUCUGGAGGAACACCGUGGCGAAGGCGGCGAUCCUGGACCAACACUGACGCUGAGUGAGCGAAAGCCAGGGGAGCAAGCGGAUUAAGAUGACCCUAGUAACGU
rnacentral:rRNA from 1 species